GGAGGUAUAGCUCAGUGGUAGAGCAUUCGACAGCAGAUCGAGAGGUCCCCGGUCCAAACCUGGGUGCCCCUU
rnacentral:tRNA from 1 species